rnacentral:lncRNA from 1 species
CCAAAGCCCCAUUUGAUCUCGACAGGGACGGGUCGUCCCCAAAGCCGGAUUCCCCGCUUCCUGGUCGCCCUCGUAGUUUCGAGCACGAAUUUUCGACGUUGUUUCCCGCUUUUGCACUAGGUCAAAAGAGACUCGUUGCAGCAUUCCAUCUCAGUGGGAUUGAUUGGCCCACACGGCUUGGUAUGACCAGCUGGGUAUUAAAGAGAUCAUCUUUGACGGAAACCCUUCUUCCACCGGUUGAAGAGGAUAGCUUUUUCCGGUGGCCCAACGGAGAGCGAUUCCAACAAACAUGUAAGCUUGGUGCAUUUCAGUGGUGGAAUGAUGUACAUCUCAUAUGAAAAGCCGUUUGAUUUGACGAGUUAGAUGAAGGAGGUUCGCACGCGCUCAGUGCAGGCGAGAAUUUUAAGUC